rnacentral:lncRNA from 1 species
CGGAGAGGGGCUGAGGCCAGGCCUGCGGUGGGAGGGUUGGAUGUCGGCCUGGCUGCCCCUGCUGGAUUUCCGCCCUGAGCAGUGGAGGGGAAACCAGGCCGGGCCCCACAGGGCAGUGUGGCUAGGGGUCAGGCACAGAGGGGCGUGAGGCCUGGCCUCCUUCCUUAGGUUGGCUGGCCCCGAAGGACGCCUGGGUGGAGGGUGCUGGCAUCUCCCAGUGACCCCCUGUACCGGCCCCACCCUUGGCUCUUGGUCUGUGUUUAUACCUUGGCGCCUUCGCAGCUCCGCUUGCUUUUUCCAGCUGCCUUGCUUUUCCCCACACAGGUCCUUCUGCCUGGAGUGCCCGGUGCCUUGCAGAGCUCCCACCCUUCCUUGUUGCCUUGGCGCCUGUGCCACCGCUGUUGGAAGGCUUCCUUUGACACUCCUGCUCCAUCCUGGCAGUGCGGGGCUCCCUCAUCAGGGCCCUGCUUUUCUCCUUGUCCAUCAAGGCAGGGAUCCCCCUUAUUCUUCGUCUUUAACCUGUGAUAUUAACUAAACCAUUUAUUGCG